UACGUAGGUGGCAAGCGUUGUCCGGAAUUACUGGGCGUAAAGCGUGCGCAGGCGGUUCGUUGUGUCGGCGGUGAAAGCCCCGGGCUUAACCUGGGAAUGGCCGUCGAAACUGGCGAACUGGAGUGUGGCAGAGGGGGGUGGAAUUCCGCGUGUAGCAGUGAAAUGCGUAGAGAUGCGGAGGAACACCGAUGGCGAAGGCAGCCCCCCUGGGCUGACACUGACGCUCAGGCACGAAAGCGUGGGGAGCAAACAGG
rnacentral:rRNA from 1 species